rnacentral:rRNA from 1 species
GGUGAAGCCCAGCUUGCUGGGUGGAUCAGUGGCGAACGGGUGAGUAACACGUGAGCAAUCUGCCCCUGACUCUGGGAUAAGCGCUGGAAACGGCGUCUAAUACUGGAUACGAACCGUGGAGGCAUCUUCAACGGUUGGAAAGAUUUUUUGGUCAGGGAUGAGCUCGCGGCCUAUCAGCUUGUUGGUGAGGUAAUGGCUCACCAAGGCGUCGACGGGUAGCCGGCCUGAGAGGGUGACCGGCCACACUGGGACUGAGACACGGCCCAGACUCCUACGGGAGGCAGCAGUGGGGAAUAUUGCACAAUGGGCGAAAGCCUGAUGCAGCAACGCCGCGUGAGGGAUGACGGCCUUCGGGUUGUAAACCUCUUUUAGCAGGGAAGAAGCGAAAGUGACGGUACCUGCAGAAAAAGCGCCGGCUAACUACGUGCCAGCAGCCGCGGUAAUACGUAGGGCGCAAGCGUUAUCCGGAAUUAUUGGGCGUAAAGAGCUCGUAGGCGGUUUGUCGCGUCUGCUGUGAAAUCCCGAGGCUCAACUUCGGGUCUGCAGUGGGUACGGGCAGACUAGAGUGCGGUAGGGGAGAUUGGAAUUCCUGGUGUAGCGGUGGAAUGCGCAGAUAUCAGGAGGAACACCGAUGGCGAAGGCAGAUCUCUGGGCCGUAACUGACGCUGAGGAGCGAAAGGGUGGGGAGCAAACAGGCUUAGAUACCCUGGUAGUCCACCCCGUAAACGUUGGGAACUAGUUGUGGGGUCCAUUCCACGGAUUCCGUGACGCAGCUAACGCAUUAAGUUCCCCGCCUGGGGAGUACGGCCGCAAGGCUAAAACUCAAAGGAAUUGACGGGGACCCGCACAAGCGGCGGAGCAUGCGGAUUAAUUCGAUGCAACGCGAAGAACCUUACCAAGGCUUGACAUAUACGAGAACGCUGCAGAAAUGUAGAACUCUUUGGACACUCGUAAACAGGUGGUGCAUGGUUGUCGUCAGCUCGUGUCGUGAGAUGUUGGGUUAAGUCCCGCAACGAGCGCAACCCUCGUUCUAUGUUGCCAGCACGUAAUGGUGGGAACUCAUGGGAUACUGCCGGGGUCAACUCGGAGGAAGGUGGGGAUGACGUCAAAUCAUCAUGCCCCUUAUGUCUUGGGCUUCACGCAUGCUACAAUGGCCGGUACAAAGGGCUGCAAUACCGUGAGGUGGAGCGAAUCCCAAAAAGCCGGUCCCAGUUCGGAUUGAGGUCUGCAACUCGACCUCAUGAAGUCGGAGUCGCUAGUAAUCGCAGAUCAGCAACGCUGCGGUGAAUACGUUCCCGGGUCUUGUACACACCGCCCGUCAAGUCAUGAAAGUCGGUAACACCUGAAGCCGGUGGCCCAACCCUUGUGGAGGGAGCC